rnacentral:sRNA from 1 species
UUGAAAAAUGCGAACUAGAACUACAUGAGACACUAUCUCUAUCGUUACGAACCUAACACUUUCUACCAAGUUAAUCGGAAUAAGACCUCUCAAACACUCACAAGUGAUAUAGGGCUUGAAAGAAAGUCUAGGUUUGAGUUUGGGUUAACUGCUCUAAUAAGGAGAGUCAGCUACUUGGAUUAACAAGAGUGAUCAAAAUGAAUAAGAAAAUCCAAGUAUUUUAGGGUAUCCAUGAGUUCAAAUUUGAUGCAGACAUGAUAAUUAAAGAUCAGAUUCAGGUUCAAAUUGAUAGGGAAUGGUAUCAGAUCAUGAUAGUGUGGUCGAGUAGAGCAAUCUAGGCAUGGUUCAGUUUUAUUUCAAAUUCAUUGACUAUGCAACAAACAACUAGCAACGAGGGCACUGAGUUUAUCCGGUGAAUCAAAAUGCUUACAAGGCUAUCUCAUCAUCAUCCCCUAUGCAUAUGCAACAAUCCUAAAUGAAACACUCUAGACUCGAUCCUAAAUGUGAUGCAACUACAUGAACACUCUUUUUUUUGUGAAAUCAUUUUC